CAGCUCUGCAUCUGCCAUGGAACGACCCAGGCCACUACGAACAGAAUCUGAACUGAAGGUAUUUUGCUCUAAAAACAUACUGAGCAUCCUUGGUUUCUCCUGCAUCAUCGCUGUGAUAGCGUUGCUCGCUCUGGGGCUGACCCAGAACAAAGCACUGCCAGAAAAUGUUAAGUUUGGGAUUGUGCUGGAUGCAGGCUCCUCUCACACGAGUUUGUACAUCUAUAGAUGGCCGGCAGAGAAGGAGAAUGACACGGGGGUGGUGACUCAGAUAGAAGAAUGCAAGCUGAAAGGUCCUGGAAUCUCAAGCUUUGCUAAAAAAUUAAAUGAAAUCAAUGUCUAUCUGACUGCAUGCAUGGAAAGAGCCAGGAAAGUGAUUCCAUCAAUCCAGCACACAGAAACACCUGUUUACCUGGGAGCCACGGCCGGCAUGCGGUUGCUCAGGAUGGAAAAUAAACAGAUGGCAGACAAGAUCCUGGCUGUGGUUGCAAGCAGCAUCAGCAAGUACCCCUUUGACUUCCAAGGUGCCAGAAUCAUCAGUGGCCAGGAGGAAGGUGCCUAUGGCUGGAUUACUGUCAACUAUUUGCUGGGCAAAUUCACUCAGAAAUUGAGUUGGUUUAACUUGAAGCCAAGCAAAGACGAUACUCAGGAAACCUAUGGAGCUUUAGACCUUGGGGGAGCCUCUACACAAAUCACUUUUGUGCCCCGAAAUGAAACGACUGAGUCUCCAGACAACAACCUGUACUUUCGCCUCUAUGGCAAGAACUACAAUGUAUACACACACAGCUUCCUGUGCUAUGGGAAAGACCAAGCACUUUUUCAGAAACUGGCCCUGGGACUUCAGGGUACAAAUGGAAUCAUCCGUGAGCCAUGCUUUCACUCCGGAUACAGAAGGAAAGUAAAGAUGAGUGUCUUCAACGAAGGUUUCUGUACCAUGAGAUAUGAGUUGAAUUCUUCAUUUUAUCCACUCUCUGACGUUGACAUCCGUGGCACUGGACGCUUCCGACAAUGUCAGCAAAGCAUCAUUCAACUCUUUAACACCAGUUAUUGCCCUUACUCCAGUUGCUCCUUCAAUGGGGUUUUCUUACCGCCACUCCAAGGGCAGUUUGGGGUGGAGAAGAAUUUUGGUGAUGUGAAGGAGAAAUACCUGAGUGAAUACUGCUUUUCUGGCACCUACAUCCUAGUUCUCCUCCUGAAUGGCUACCAUUUUACAGCUGAGUCCUGGAAAAAUAUUCACUUCAUGAACAAGGUCCGGAGCACCAGCGUUGGGUGGACUUUGGGCUACAUGCUGAACCUGACCAACAAGAUUCCAGCUGAGCAGCCAUUGUCCGCACCCCUCCCCCACUCCACCUAUGUCUUCCUCAUGGUCCUCUUCUCUCUGAUCCUGCUCGCAGUGAUCAUCGUAGGCAUAGUUGUCUUUCACAAGCCUUCGUAUCUCUGGAAAGACGUGGUAUAG
rnacentral:lncRNA from 1 species